rnacentral:rRNA from 1 species
GCGCGAAAACUUUACAAUGCCGGCAACGGCGAUAAGGGGACCUCGAGUGCCAGGUUACAAAUCUGGCUGUCGUGAUGCCUAAAAAGCAUUGCAUAGCAAGGGCCGGGCAAGACCGGUGCCAGCCGCCGCGGUAACACCGGCGGCUCGAGUGGUAACCGUUAUUAUUGGGUCUAAAGGGUCUGUAGCCGGCCGGAUAAGUCUCUUGGGAAAUCUGGCAGCUUAACUGUCAGGCUUUCAGGAGAUACUGUCUGGCUCGAGGCCGGGAGAGGUGAGAGGUACUUCAGGGGUAGGGGUGAAAUCUUGUAAUCCUUGAAGGACCACCAGUGGCGAAGGCGUCUCACCAGAACGGACCUGACGGCAAGGGACGAAAGCUAGGGGCACGAACCGGAUUAGAUACCCGGGUAGUCCUAGCCGUAAACGAUACUCGCUAGGUGUCGGCCACGGUGCGACCGUUGUCGGUGCCGUAGGGAAGCCGUGAAGCGAGCCACCUGGGAAGUACGGCCGCAAGGCUGAAACUUAAAGGAAUUGGCGGGGGAGCACCGACAAC